rnacentral:rRNA from 1 species
UACGGAAGGUCCGGGCGUUAUCCGGAUUUAUUGGGUUUAAAGGGAGCGCAGGCGGAGGCUUAAGCGUGACGUGAAAUGUAGCCGCUCAACGGCUGAGUUGCGUCGCGAACUGGGUUUCUUGAGUGAGUGCGACGUCAGCGGAAUUCGUGGUGUAGCGGUGAAAUGCUUAGAUAUCACGAAGAACCCCGAUUGCGAAGGCAGCUGACGAGCCCUUUACUGACGCUAAAGCUCGAAGGUGCGGGUAUCGAAC